rnacentral:rRNA from 1 species
CAUAGGUUAAUGAGGCGAACCGGGGGAACUGAAACAUCUAAGUACCCCGAGGAAAAGAAAUCAACCGAGAUUCCCCCAGUAGCGGCGAGCGAACGGGGAGCAGCCCAGAGCCUGAAUCAGUGUGUGUGUUAGUGGAAGCGUCUGGAAAGGCGCGCGAUACAGGGUGACAGCCCCGUACACAAAAAUGCACAUACUGUGAGCUCGAUGAGUAGGGCGGGACACGUGGUAUCCUGUCUGAAUAUGGGGGGACCAUCCUCCAAGGCUAAAUACUCCUGACUGACCGAUAGUGAACCAGUACCGUGAGGGAAAGGCGAAAAGAACCCCGGCGAGGGGAGUGAAAAAGAACCUGAAACCGUGUACGUACAAGCAGUGGGAGCACGCUUAGGCGUGUGACUGCGUACCUUUUGUAUAAUGGGUCAGCGACUUAUAUUCUGUAGCAAGGUUAACCGAAUAGGGGAGCCGAAGGGAAACCGAGUCUUAACUGGGCGUUAAGUUGCAGGGUAUAGACCCGAAACCCGGUGAUCUAGCCAUGGGCAGGUUGAAGGUUGGGUAACACUAACUGGAGGACCGAACCGACUAAUGUUGAAAAAUUAGCGGAUGACUUGUGGCUGGGGGUGAAAGGCCAAUCAAACCGGGAGAUAGCUGGUUCUCCCCGAAAGCUAUUUAGGUAGCGCCUCGUGAAUUCAUCUCCGGGGGUAGAGCACUGUUUCGGCAAGGGGGUCAUCCCGACUUACCAACCCGAUGCAAACUGCGAAUACCGGAGAAUGUUAUCACGGGAGACACACGGCGGGUGCUAACGUCCGUCGUGAAGAGGGAAACAACCCAGACCGCCAGCUAAGGUCCCAAAGUCAUGGUUAAGUGGGAAACGAUGUGGGAAGGCCCAGACAGCCAGGAUGUUGGCUUAGAAGCAGCCAUCAUUUAAAGAAAGCGUAAUAGCUCACUGGUCGAGUCGGCCUGCGCGGAAGAUGUAACGGGGCUAAACCAUGCACCGAAGCUGCGGCAGCGACGCUGAUGCGUUGUUGGGUAGGGGAGCGUUCUGUAAGCCUGUGAAGGUGUGCUGUGAGGCAUGCUGGAGGUAUCAGAAGUGCGAAUGCUGACAUAAGUAACGAUAAAGCGGGUGAAAAGCCCGCUCGCCGGAAGACCAAGGGUUCCUGUCCAACGUUAAUCGGGGCAGGGUGAGUCGACCCCUAAGGCGAGGCCGAAAGGCGUAGUCGAUGGGAAACAGGUUAAUAUUCCUGUACUUGGUGUUACUGCGAAGGGGGGACGGAGAAGGCUAUGUUGGCCGGGCGACGGUUGUCCCGGUUUAAGCGUG